rnacentral:rRNA from 1 species
UACAGAGGUCUCAAGCGUUGUUCGGAAUUACUGGGCGUAAAGGGCGCGUAGGCGGUUUGCUAAGUUGGAUGUGAAAACUCUGGGCUUAACCCAGAGCCUGCAUCCAAAACUGGCAAACUUGAGUACUGGAGGGGAAAGCGGAAUUCCUGGUGUAGCGGUGAAAUGCGUAGAUAUCAGGAGGAACACCGGUGGCGAAGGCGGCUCUCUGGGACGGUACUGACGCUGAGACGCGAAAGCGUGGGGAGCGAACAGG